AGAGGAAGUAAAAGUCGUAACAAGGUUUCCGUAGGUGAACCUGCGGAAGGAUCAUUAUUGAAUAAACUUGAUCAGGUUGUUGCUGGCUCCCCUGAGCAUGUGCACACUUGUCAUCUUUACUUUUCCCCAAUGUGCACAUAUUGUAGGCCUGGAGCUCUUUUGAUUAUCUUGUAUAGAUUGAGGACUGCUGUGCUUCAGCCAGCUUUUCCUUGUGUUUCCAGGUCUAUGUUUACCUUCACAAACUCUGAAUAUGUUUAGAAUGUUGAAAUAUAAUAUAUAUAUACAACUUUCAGCAACGGAUCUCUUGGCUCUCGCAUCGAUGAAGAACGCAGCGAAAUGCGAUAAGUAAUGUGAAUUGCAGAAUUCAGUGAAUCAUCGAAUCUUUGAACGCAUCUUGCGCUCCUUGGUAUUCCGAGGAGCAUGCCUGUUUGAGUGUCAUUAAUCUCUCAACCACACCAAUCUUUUUGGCUUGGUGUGGCUUUUGGAUGUGGGGGUUUUAUUUUGCUGGCUCCUAUUAAAUGAGGUCAGCUCCCCUGAAACUUAUUAGCGGUAUCUGAGCAGAGAGACCUACUACAGGUGUGAUAAAUUAUCUAUGCCUUGGUCAUACUGCAUGAACAGAUUGUGCUGCUUCCAGUGAAUCAUUUGACAAUUUUGACCUCAAAUCAGGUAGGACUACCCGCUGAACUUAAGCAUAUCANAANCGGAGGAA
rnacentral:rRNA from 1 species